rnacentral:rRNA from 1 species
UGGGGAAUUUUGGACAAUGGGCGAAAGCCUGAUCCAGCAAUGCCGCGUGUGUGAAGAAGGCCUUCGGGUUGUAAAGCACUUUUGUCCGGAAAGAAAUCCUUGGCUCUAAUACAGUCGGGGGAUGACGGUGCCGGAAGAAUAAGCACCGGCUAACUACGUGCCAGCAGCCGCGGUAAUACGUAGGGUGCAAGCGUUAAUCGGAAUUACUGGGCGUAAAGCGUGCGCAGGCGGUUUGCUAAGACCGAUGUGAAAUCCCCGGGCUCAACCUGGGAACUGCAUUGGUGACUGGCAGGCUAGAGUAUGGCAGAGGGGGGUAGAAUUCCACGUGUAGCAGUGAAAUGCGUAGAGAUGUGGAGGAAUACCGAUGGCGAAGGCAGCCCCCUGGGCCAAUACUGACGCUCAUGCACGAAAGCGUGGGGAGCAAACAGGAUUAGAUACCCCUGGUAGUCCACGCCCUAAACGAUGUCAACUAGUUGUUGGGGAUUCAUUUCCUUAGUAACGUAGCUAACGCGUGAAGUUGACCGCCUGGGGAGUACGGUCGCAAGAUUAAAAGCUUAAA